rnacentral:rRNA from 1 species
AUUGAACGCUGGCGGCAUGCCUAACACAUGCAAGUCGAACGGCAGCACGGCAGUAGCAAUACUGUGGGUGGCGAGUGGCGGACGGGUGAGGAAUACGUCGGAAUCUGCCCAGUCGUGGGGGAUAACUAGCCGAAAGGUUAGCUAAUACCGCAUACGACCGAGAGGUGAAAGCGGGGGACCGCAAGGCCUCGCGCGAUUGGAUGAGCCGACGUCGGAUUAGCUAGUUGGAGGGGUAAAGGCCCACCAAGGCGACGAUCCGUAGCUGGUCUGAGAGGAUGAUCAGCCACACUGGAACUGAGACACGGUCCAGACUCCUACGGGAGGCAGCAGUGGGGAAUAUUGGACAAUGGGCGCAAGCCUGAUCCAGCAAUGCCGCGUGUGUGAAGAAGGCCU